UUUCCUUUUAUUUCUUUUCAAAAAUUUCAGAGGAUUCUCUGAAACCCUCUCCUCCUUUCAUGAAUCUGGUCGCCGGACUGGUCAUCGGCCGCCUUGGUCCACUACCGUCGACCACCGUACAUGGCGGCCAGAACUCCAAAAGGGUUAGGCGUGGUCAACGAAGGGAGCAGGUGGAGGAAGUGUGCUAUAGGCGGUGGCAGAGGCCAAAAGACUGGCAUGGUAGAGGACCUAGGGGCGGCUAGGGUUUCUUCUGCCUUUUUCUUUGCUGAAAAUUUUUUAGAUUUUGGGCCAUUUGGACUUAUUUUUUUGUAAUUUGGACUGGACUUUAUUAUUUUUUGA